rfam:Capsicum annuum cultivar Zunla-1 chromosome 5, whole genome shotgun sequence
ACCUCGUGGUUGGGACAUUGCAUGGGCUUACUAUUAAAUCUCUCCCAUACCUCAUAUUGAGGUUCUCUAUUCAAUUGAUGAAAAUUAGUGAUUUCAUCACGUAAUU